rnacentral:snRNA from 1 species
UUGCUAAUUGAAAACUUUUCCUAGUACCCCUCCAUGAUAACUUGAAAU